ACAAGCGGUGGAUGAUGUGGAUUAAUUCGAUGCAACGCGAAAAACCUUACCUACCCUUGACAUGUCUGGAGCCUUGGUGAGAGCCGAGGGUGCCUUCGGGAAUCGGAACACAGGUGCUGCAUGGCUGUCGUCAGCUCGUGUCGUGAGAUGUUGGGUUAAGUCCCGCAACGAGCGCAACCCUUAUCAUUAGUUGCUACGCAAGGGCACUCUAAUGAGACUGCCGGUGACAAACCGGAGGAAGGUGGGGAUGACGUCAAGUCCUCAUGGCCCUUAUGGGUAGGGCUUCACACGUCAUACAAUGGUCGGUACAGAGGGUUGCCAACCCGCGAGGGGGAGCUAAUCCCACAAAGCCGAUCGUAGUCCGGAUUGUUCUCUGCAACUCGAGAGCAUGAAGUCGGAAUCGCUAGUAAUCGCAGGUCAGCAUACUGCGGUGAAUACGUUCCCGGGUCUU
rnacentral:rRNA from 1 species